rnacentral:rRNA from 1 species
GUGUCAGCCGCCGCGGUAAAACGUAGGAGGCGAGCGUUAUCCGGAUUUACUGGGCGUAAAGCGCACGCAGGCGGGUCGGCAAGUUGGACGUGAAAGCUCCUGGCUUAACUGGGAGAGGCCGUUCGAAACUGCCGGGCUUGAGGUAGGGAGAGGGGUGUGGAAUUCCCGGUGUAGUGGUGGAAUGCGUAGAUAUCGGGAGGAACACCAGAGGCGGAAGCGGCACCCUGGCCCACACCUGACGCUGAGGUGCGAAAGCGUGGGGAGCAAACAGGAUUAGAUACCCCCGUAGUCC